GAUGAACGCUGGCGGCGUGCCUAAUACAUGCAAGUCGAGCGAACAGACGAGGAGCUUGCUCCUCUGACGUUAGCGGCGGACGGGUGAGUAACACGUGGAUAACCUACCUAUAAGACUGGGAUAACUUCGGGAAACCGUAGCUAAUACCGGAUAAUAUAUUGAACCGCAUGGUUCAAUAGUUAAAGACGGUUUUGCUGUCACUUAUAGAUUGAUCCGCGCCGCAUUAGCUAGUUGGUAAGGUAACGGCUUACCAAGGCAACGAUGCGUAGCCGACCUGAGAGGGUGAUCGGCCACACUGGAACUGAGACACGGUCCAGACUCCUACGGGAGGCAGCAGUAGGGAAUCUUCCGCAAUGGGCGAAAGCUUGACGGAGCAACGCCGCGUGAGUGAUGAAGGUCUUCGGAUCGUAAAACUCUGUUAUUAGGGAAGAACAAAUGUGUAAGUAACUAUGCACGUCUUGACGGUACCUAAUCAGAAAGCCACGGCUAACUACGUG
rnacentral:rRNA from 1 species